CUGAUCAACGGGGAUUUUAACCUCAUCUACGAGGCGAGGGACAAAAACAACCACCACCUCAACCGUAGGCUCAUGGGCAUGUUCAGACAAGCCAUUGACAGCGCCGGCCUAAAAGAAAUCAAAUGCAAGAACCGCCGAUAUACCUGGAGCAACGAGCGCGAGAACCUGACUCUCGUCAGCAUCGACAAGUUUUUCUGCACUAGUAGUUGGGAUGAUCUUUUCCCCUCAAGCGUGCUGAUGGCAGCAUCUACAGCAAUGUUGGAUCCCUGCCCGCUUCUCCUGGCCGACGCUGCCGCCCCUCGACGCCGCGCAAAAUUCAAAUUUGAGAGCUUUUGGCCGCUCUUCCCGCGCUUCCAGGAGACGGUCGCCCACACUUGGAGCCGGCCAGUGCAAAGCGCCUGUGCUUUCAAGCGGCUAGAAAUCAAGAUGGCGUGCACAGCCAAGGAUUUAAAAAUCUGGAGUUCCUCCUUCUUUAGCGACGCCAAGCUCCAAUUCCACAUAGCAAGCGAGAUCAUCCUGCGUUUAGACAUUGCCCAAGAGUCUCGCAACCUCUCCACGCUGGAAUUUAAUCUUUGA
rnacentral:rRNA from 1 species